AUCUUUUCGCUUGGGGCAAUGAUGCAGUCAGUGAGGUUCUAUCCGAGGCGCAUCUAUUUUUGGUUGAAAUCUAUUUCCAACUCCCCCGCUUUCUAAUGAUGAAGCGCUUUAUUUCUUACACAAAAUUUCACCAGAAA
rnacentral:snRNA from 1 species